UACGUAGGGUGCGAGCGUUUGUCCGGAAUUAUUGGGCGUAAAGAGCUUGUAGGCGGUUUGUCGCGUCUGCCGUGAAAAUCCGGGGCUCAACCCCGGACUUGCGGUGGGUACGGGGCAGACUAGAGUGUGGUAGGGGAGACUGGAAUUCCUGGUGUAGCGGUGAAAUGCGCAGAUAUCAGGAGGAACACCGAUGGCGAAGGCAGGUCUCUGGGCCACUACUGACGCUGAGAAGCGAAAGCGUGGGGAGCGAACAGG
rnacentral:rRNA from 1 species